rnacentral:rRNA from 1 species
AUACGGAGGGGGUUAGCGUUGUUCGGAAUUACUGGGCGUAAAGCGUACGUAGGCGGAUUAGUAAGUUAGGGGUGAAAUCCCGAGGCUCAACCUCGGAACUGCCUCUAAAACUGCUAGUCUUGAGUUCGAGAGAGGUGAGUGGAAUUCCUAGUGUAGAGGUGAAAUUCGUAGAUAUUAGGAGGAACACCAGUGGCGAAGGCGGCUCACUGGCUCGAUACUGACGCUGAGGUACGAAAGUGUGGGGAGCAAACAGGAUUAGAAACCCUGGUAGUCC